GCUUUGCCUGAUGAUCCAUGGGGAAUCUUCCAUUCGGUGCCUUUCAGAGAGGUUGGUUUGUGGGUGCAGGAGUGCAGGAGCACAUGCCACAAGAAGGGGCCUGAAUGGCUGGAAACUCCACCCCGAGACCUGGCAUUGCUGAGCUGCUCUGUUCUGCCAGGAAACUGCCCACCUGGAUAGAGACAGACAGGGAGUUGCUCUUCUGGUCCUCAGAGGAAAGGAAGAACAGUGAUGUCAGCAAUGACCGCCACUGACAUCUCUACCUGGUCAAAUAGCCAAACUGUCCCAAAGGAGAGCCUUGGAAGCCAGAAUACAAAGACAACUGGAGAAUACACACAUAGAAUAAAUAAGCUGAGAAUAAUGGAAAGUUGGAUGAGAGAAUUGACAUUCCACAAAGGUUUUGCUUCUCCAGACAGUUGUUCAGAUCAUCUUGGGUCAUCUGGAUUUGGGCCAUUUCAUCACAG
rnacentral:lncRNA from 1 species